AUACGUAGGGGGCGAGCGUUGUCCGGAAUGAUUGGGCGUAAAGGGCGCGUAGGCGGCCCGGUAAGUCUGGAGUGAAAGUCCUGUUUUUAAGAUGGGAAUUGCUUUGGAUACUGUCGGGCUUGAGUGCAGGAGAGGUAAGUGGAAUUCCCAGUGUAGCGGUGAAAUGCGUAGAGAUUGGGAGGAACACCAGUGGCGAAGGCGACUUACUGGACUGUAACUGACGCUGAGGCGCGAAAGUGUGGGGAGCAAACAGGAUUAGAUACCCUGGUAGUCCACACUGUAAACGAUGAAUGCUAGGUGUAGGGGGUAUCGACCCCUUCUGUGCCGCAGUCAAAACAAUAAGCAUUCCGCCUGGGGAGUACGGCCGCAAGGUUGAAACUCAAAUGAAUUGACGGG
rnacentral:rRNA from 1 species